UACAGAGGUCUCAAGCGUUGUUCGGAUUCAUUGGGCGUAAAGGGUGCGUAGGCGGCGCGGUAAGUCGGGGUGUGAAAUCUCGGGGCUUAACUCCGAAACUGCAUUCGAUACUGCCGUGCUUGAGGACUGGAGAGGAGACUGGAAUUUACGGUGUAGCGGUGAAAUGCGUAGAUAUCGUAAGGAAGACCAGUGGCGAAGGCGGGUCUCUGGACAGUUCCUGACGCUGAGGCACGAAAGGCCCAGGGGGAGCAAAACGGGG
rnacentral:rRNA from 1 species